UUUUUUAGUUUUUUUUU
rnacentral:sRNA from 1 species